AUACAAUUAAAUUUGAUAUUAGAGAAAAUUGAAGCAAAUGUGAAAGAAGGCAAGUUCUCUCUCUCUUAAAAGGCCUGUUGACAGGCCAAUGGAUUGGCCAAUCAGGACACUGUCUGCAUCAGGGAUGACACAGGUAGCACAGACACAGGGAUGACACAGGGAUGACACAGGGAGCACAGACACAGGGAUGACAGAGAGGACUGGCCCAGCUGUGGUGCAGACACCAAUAAAGGAAAACAAGACAGACAAUAUCCAUGGAUGUGGAUAAACUUUUAGUUUUUAAUCCAAAAUAUUACAGUAUUCUCACAGCACUCUCCCCAACCAACACUCUGUCUGUUCUGUAAGUAUCGGAGUGAGUUUUAUCUUAGUUUGUUACUCCUGUAGUUUUCAGCACCUUUAAAUGAAUACAAA